rnacentral:ncRNA from 1 species
UGUUUUCAUUCUAAUAGCUUUGAUGCUAUAAAGGGGGAACACCCUCUAAGUCCUACUUUUCCUCUCCCAUUGGUCGAGCUAGUCCCUUCCUCAAUUCCUGAUAGUGUACAAGUACCAUAAGGGAAAGGUGAAAAUAACCCUAAAAAGGGAGUGAAAUAGAAACCCUGAAAUCCGAUGCAAACAAUCAGUCGAUUGACUCAAAUAGUGUACCUUUUGAAUAAUGGGUUAGCGAGUAAGCAAUAAUAGUAGCUUAACCCAUUAGGUGUAGGCAGCGUUGUUAUUACCAGACCCGAAAAUGACACAGCUAAACUAUUUUAGUCUCCUAGGGAACUUGAGAUAACUAUGCCGAAGUUCUCCAAAAUGACCCCGUAACUUCGGGAGAAGGGGUGAUCUUCCAUAUAUGCAUUAGGAGAGCGAUGCAUACGAGAGGGUAGCAAUUGUUUAUUAUAAAAAUACAGGACUCUGCUAAGUGGAAACACAAUGUAUAGAGUGUUUGCACCCGAUUCGUCACUAGGUGAGCAAAUUAAGAGUGCUUACAUGCCCAGUUGGGCUCUGCUAGGCAUGACAACUGUUGAGUAAAAGGUUAGAAAGAGAAACAACAACGUUAUAAACAAAAAUCAAACUAAAACAAAUAAAAACUAAAAGCAUAUGAAAAAAUGAAAAAUAGAGACAAAUGGACCAAUAUCACCAAUGUAUAAGCUAAUCUAUUGAUGAAAUCCAAAGGCACAAUGAAGAAAGGGGACUUGGGUCCCUUCUGUCUCCAAUGGAAGGCUCUUGAGGCCCCCAAAGAUUGCUCUCCUUGCAAUGAAAAGAUUAAAAUGUGGGUGAAAGAACUCCAAGCUUAUUCACUCAAGUGAGGGGUGAAUAGCUCUAUGAAAUGCAACUUAUGAUGUUUAUUGCCAAAGAAUGAGUCCUUAGCAAUC